rnacentral:misc_RNA from 1 species
UUGCAGAUUUCCGUGAUCAUCGAAUCCUUUGAACGCACCUUGCGCUCUAUGGCAAUCCGUAGAGCAUGCCUGUUUGAGUGCCAUGAAAUCUCCCACCCCAAGCGGUUUUUAGAUGAAACGGCUUGGCGGAGGGGGUCUGGAUGGGUGCCUCUGCCUGCGCUCCCCAACACAUGCUCGACCCAAAUCCAUAAGCGCCGUGCGACACGUUACACCCUCCUCCCUCCUUUUAGGAGGGGGCACCUCAGAGUUUUUCUCCUGACCCGCUAAGAUAAAUCAUUUCCUAUGUCGCAGAAAGGAGGAAUGUUUGGUUGUGUCUGCGUGUGCUUCGAACUUGCCUCUGUGGCACAUCCCAAUUUCACUUCUGGUCUCAAAUCAGGUAGGAUCACCCGCUGAACUUAACAUAUCAUAAGCGAAAAAAAAAA